GGCGCACGGGUGAGUAACGCGUGGGAACCUACCUGGAGGUACGGGACAACAGCUGGAAAUGGCUGCUAAUACCGUAUGAUCCCCUUUUCGGAGACGGAGGGGGGCAAAGAUUUAUCGCCUUUGGAUGGGCCCGCGUUGGAUUAGCUUGUUGGUGGGGUAAUGGCCUACCAAGGCAUCGAUCUAUAGCUGGUCUGAGAGGACGAUCAGCCACACUGGGACUGAGACACGGCCCAG
rnacentral:rRNA from 1 species